rnacentral:misc_RNA from 1 species
GCGUGGAGAGCGCGAUGUCGCCGGCGAACGCGUUCCAGUCCAUCUUCCCGUCGCGGACGUAGUAGCCGACGUUGAUGGAGCCGAGGUUGCAGACGUCGUACGCGAGGAGCGGCUGCUCGCCGCAGGGGUUCGUCGCCUCAUAGGCGCCGAGGUGCGGCACGGGGUUGUAGCGGUUGGCUUC